CAAGUGGACAGAAGGAGCACCACAUCGUCCUGCAUCUGCAACCAGGAGCUGCCCUUGACCAGCCAGUCCAGGUAGGGGAAGAUCUGGACCCCCCGGCACCUGAGGAUUCAAAGCACUUGCCAAAGGACCGCUGCCUCGCUCAGUGCACAGGAUGGGAUGAAUGAUGUUCAGUAAAUUAUUCAG